AAUAGAUACCCCGGUAGUCCACGCCGUAAACGAUGUCGACUUGGAGGUUGUUCCCUUGAGGAGUGGCUUCCGGAGCUAACGCGUUAAGUCGACCGCCUGGGGAGUACGGCCGCAAGGUUAAGACUCAAAUGAAUUGACGGGGGCCCGCACAAGCGGUGGAGCAUGUGGUUUAAUUCGAUGCAACGCGAAGAACCUUACCUACUCUUGACAUCCAGAGAACUUAGCAGAGAUGCUUUGGUGCCUUCGGGAACUCUGAGACAGGUGCUGCAUGGCUGUCGUCAGCUCGUGUUGUGAAAUGUUGGGUUAAGUCCCGCAACGAGCGCAACCCUUAUCCUUUGUUGCCAGCGGCUCGGCCGGGAACUCAAAGGAGACUGCCAGUGAUAAACUGGAGGAAGGUGGGGAUGACGUCAAGUCAUCAUGGCCCUUACGAGUAGGGCUACACACGUGCUACAAUGGCGCAUACAAAGAGAAGCGACCUCGCGAGAGCAAGCGGACCUCAUAAAGUGCGUCGUAGUCCGGAUUGG
rnacentral:rRNA from 1 species